UACGGAGGGUGCGAGCGUUGUCCGGAAUCAUUGGGCGUAAAGGGCGCGUAGGUGGCUCGCCAAGCGGGCGGUGAAAGCCUGGGGCUCAACCCCGGGUCGGCCGUGCGAACUGGCGAGCUGGAGCACUGUAGAGGCAGGCGGAAUUCCGGGUGUAGCGGUGGAAUGCGUAGAGAUCCGGAAGAACACCGGUGGCGAAGGCGGCCUGCUGGGCAGUGGCUGACACUGAGGCGCGACAGCGUGGGGAGCAAACAGG
rnacentral:rRNA from 1 species